CAACACCUGUGGUGGUGGUGAUAAACCACAAGGGAGGCCAGCGCAGCUAUGACUGUGUGACUAUGAACACACAGGAAGAGUCCUUGACACAUACACCCUGACACCACCUCAGUGUGGCCUGCUCUACAUGAGAAUUCCAGGCCAUCACGAUCAUCAGUAUCAUAGUGAACAACGAGAAGGGUUGGGCCAGUUAGGCCUUCCAGGAACAACACCGCACAGACAACAUGGUCGCCAUCAACUGGAAGGAGCCCAAGCUGCUGGCCUAAAGUCUGCUCAGCCACUGCAAGUAUGUACUAAAAAAAACACACCCACUGCUGUAAAUAUGCAUCAUUUGCACUACCACUUCAGUAUGAAACUGCCUGGGUUGGUCAAUACUUCUAAGA
rnacentral:lncRNA from 13 species